rnacentral:rRNA from 1 species
UACGGAGGAUGCGAGCGUUAUCCGGAUUUAUUGGGUUUAAAGGGUGCGUAGGCGGUCUGUUAAGUCAGCGGUAAAAUUGCGGGGCUCAACCCCGUCGAGCCGUUGAAACUGGCAGACUUGAGUUGGCGAGAAGUACGCGGAAUGCGCGGUGUAGCGGUGAAAUGCAUAGAUAUCGCGCAGAACUCCGAUUGCGAAGGCAGCGUACCGGCGCCACACUGACGCUGAGGCACGAAAGCGUGGGGGUCGAACAGG